AUGGUCUUUCAGAAAAAGCCCAGAUGUCAGGAACACAGAUACCAGUUCAGUCUAGGCAGCACCGCCCUAGAACACACGAUGCAGUACACUUACCUCGGCCUGAUCCUCACUGCAUCGGGGAGUUUCAGUUCAGCAGUGAAUGCUCUCAAAGGUAAAGCUCGAAGAGCUCUAUAUGCUAUCAAGAAAAAAUUCCAAAAUAUUGAAAUACCGCUUCCAAUUUGGUGUAAAAUCUUUGAUAGUGUGAUUCAGCCCAUAGCGCUGUAUGGAAGUGAGGUUUGGGGUCCACUCAGUGAUCAGAGCUACACUAGAUGGGACAGACAUCCAACAGAAGCCCUACACACAGAAUUCUGCAAAAUGAUUCUAAAAUUACAAAGAAAAACACCCAAUAAUGCAUGUAGGGCAGAAUUAGGCCGAUUCCCAUUGAUUAUCAAUAUGCAUAAAAGAUCCCUCAAAUUCUGGAUGCAUCUUAAAUCAAGUCCCACAGAAUCGCUACAUUUUAAAGCGCUACAAACCCAAGAACUGAACCCUGAAAAGAGUCCACUCAGUCAGCUAGUUCUGAGACUUACUAACCUGACUUACUCUACUAACACUAUCCAGUCUCAAACCAGCACUGCUUCUCACCCAAACAUCGAAAUAAAUCAAAUUAUCAAACAAUCUAAAAAUACAUAUCUGGAACAUUGGGAUCAAGAAACUAAAACACAAAGUAAAUUACAAUUCUAUCGAACUCUAAAAUCAAAUUAUGAAUGUGAAGAUUAUCUCCAGAGUGUCAGAGACACAAAGCAGAGACGGAUCCUGAGCAAGUACAGGCUCAGUGAGCACAGUCUAGCCAUCGAGACGGGCAGACACAGAAAGAGCUGGUUACCCAGAGAGCAAAGGGUGUGUGCUCACUGUCAGACAGGAGAGAUCGAGACAGAGACGCACUUCCUCCUUCACUGUCAGAAAUACAUAUCCAUAAGAAACCUCUACUUCAACAGAUUCACCAACUUAAUUAAGAACUUUACAGCCAUUAGUGAAACAGAACAAAUAAAGAUACUAUUAGGAGAGGGACACACAGCAGCACUGGCUGCGAGAUACGUGUGGACAUGCCACAGCCUGAGAGACAGCAGGUGA
ensembl:lncRNA